rnacentral:rRNA from 1 species
UACGUAGAGUGCAAGCGUUGUCCGGAAUUAUUGGGCGUAAAGAGCUCGUAGGCGGUUUGUUGCGUCGGCUGUGAAAUCCCGAGGCUCAACCUCGGGUCUGCAGUCGAUACGAGCAAACUAGAGUGUUGCAGGGGAGACUGGAAUUCCUGGUGUAGCGGUGAAAUGCGCAGAUAUCAGGAGGAACACCGGUGGCGAAGGCGGGUCUCUGGGCAACAACUGACGCUGAGGAGCGAAAGCGUGGGGAGCGAACAGG